AGAAUAGAAUGGCCUUUAUUGUCACUAUACAGUGUAUAAAGGAGGUUGGCGAGCUUCUCCUUAUCAGUGCAGACACAAAGUGCAAAGGGUAUAAGAUGUAAAAAGAAGUGUAAAGGAAUUUUUUGCAGGUAUUGCACAUUUCGUUUAACUAAACAUAAAAAUAUGUUAAAACGAAAUAAACAGAACAGCAGCAUCAGUGUCAGUGAAAGUCUACAUUGCACAAACAUGAUAAGAUCCAGAAACAGAUUAAUUCAUCAAGACAGUAAUUCCACAUAUAAACUGAUGAUUAUCAAAGAGUUAAACAGAGUUAAACAAAAGAACAACAGUAGUGACAGAGCUGCUCACAGUCAGCUGUCAGGUCAACCUAAAUCACAGUAUGAAUUAAAACCAGCUCAGAUGAUUGGUUCAGCAUUUUAAAAAAUAUUCAUUAGGAUCUUCAUACACAUUAAAGUUCAAUCAAUACACUGAGCUGCAAGAGAACCAGUCACUGCUGUGAGAGUUCAGGUGAGCUCACAUUUAAACAUCAUCAUAAUCAGGUGUGAACAGCCUGUAUAUCAGAAAGGACAGUUCAUACCUGAUAGAUGUGUACAUCAUGAACAAAAACACUUUUAUUUAAAUGAUUAUAUUGCUGUUUUAUGUUCUGUUUUGUAUGCAAAAAAAAGUAAAAUAAAAUUUAUAUUUUAUCAUAUAUGACAACUUGUGAAGUAGUUACAAAGCUCCAGUCUACUUGCAUCCAUUUGUGUGUUAACGCAGAGAGAUGAACACAAUGUAGCUCAAGAAAAACAUCUUCUCAACUAUGACAUCAAAACAUUAUAGAGCAGAAAAUGAUGCUGAGUUUGGUUUGACAGACUAACGAGUUAUGAAUCAACUCCAUCAGGUUUCUGGAUCCAGUCUCUCAGAGAGUUCAGAGCUGUCUUCACUAUCUGUAAGGUCAGAAACAAACAGAGUUAAAGGUCAACUCAUAGUCUGGAGAAAUCAUCAA